GGUGAGGUGCAGGAGUGGUUGAUCUGGUCGCUCUCGAAAAGCGAUGUAGUCAUUUUGGCUACCGUGGGUUCGAAUCCCACCCUCACCG
rnacentral:tRNA from 1 species